rnacentral:lncRNA from 12 species
UGGCGCCAACUGUGAAGUGCAGUCUCAUUCCUCCUGCAGGCGUGCAAGUACCUAGGUAUGUGGGUUAGCGGCCACCUCAGGACCUCACGUGCAAGUACCCAGUACCUUGAGAAAUAUGUUGAAUUGUUGAAGACAAGACUUGGAUAUUUUUUAAUUAUCUGGCAAAACAUCACCAUAAAAUAUUAUUACAGUGAACUUUGCCAUACUUCCUUAAUAUUUACAGGUGAAAGAGUAAGUUCCAGAAUGGCUGAUACAGACAUUAAAAGGAACAGCAAAUGAGCAAGGUGCAUUGAUGAAGACUACAUGGACCUCACUCUGUGAUUAGGUACUUUAAAUAAGAUGUCUGCUUUUUUUUAAUUAAGAAAGAGACAUUCACAUUUUCCUAUGAACUGUCAGCAUUCUGUACAUGCAUGAAACAUAACACGAUAUUGUAUUUAUUUGCCUCCACAUCUAGAAUAAAAGUUAUAUGAUUAAAGAAGUUAUGAAUUGA